CGGGGAACAAGGAUGAGUUACUAGUUUACAACGCUAAACCCAGUGCCUGGGACCGAGAAAUACUCGAUAUAUGUUAAUUGCUAUUGUAAUGCCGAGUCCGGGCAAGAUACUUAAUUUCCCUGAGCCUCAAUGUCCUUCUCGAUAGAAUGAGGAUGAUGGUGAUGAAGAUCUCUUCCUCAGAGGGGUCUAUGAGCAUUAAAUGAGAUACCUGCAAAGUGCUUAGCUAGCAUUGUCUUAGGCACAUAGCAAAGGCGGGUGUUUUGCCAUCUUUAUUUUUCUGCCACAUCACUCCCUCUCAGUUGCCUCCUGUCUAGCCCAGAAAUUAAGUGGAGGGUGGAUGGAAUAGCCCUGGCUUCCUUAGAAGUAUCUGGAACUGCCUGCUGCCUUUCUGAAGCCAAGGGAAAAACCCUUCUUGCCUUUCUUCUCCACCAGCAGAUUAUUCCAUGGCCUUUCCUUUCUCCGGUGGGAAGAAGAAAAAAGGGCAUUCUACAUUUUCCAUCUUAGAUCAGGCCCAAGUCUAAACUAGAUCCAGCCUGCUGCAAAUUUAGCCUAGAGUGCAUGCCUGUCUUAGCUUUUUUUUUUUUUUUUUUUUUUUGGUAGGAGCCAGAGUCCCUUCACUCCACGGCUUAUCCUCAACCCCCUAAUCCACUUUGUUUACUUUGUUCUGUAUCCAGGGAGAGAUGCCUAAAAAGAUAACACUUUUCAAGGAUCACACUGAAAGGCAGGAGCCUAAUCUGAUGGGAACAUCACAGUCCUCAGCCUGGCUUACCGUUUGACUUUAGGCUAACCAGUGGCUCUCUGUGGUCCUCAUUUUCCCCAUGAGCACAAUGGUGGCUUACUCACCGCCCGCUGGCUGGCUGCUAACUCGAAAGUGAACUUCUGCACACGGCGCUGCCUCUUCUGGAAGAGGAGGGACCCUCUGUUGUUGCGUAGUGACAGCUCCUCCAUCAUCAGGUCUUUGCCCAUAAUGGUGGAGGUAGUGAGAAAUGGUCAGAUUCUCGAUAUUUUUUAAAGGUAAGCCAUGGGUAUGGGCAAUGAGUGAGAGAGGAUGACUGCAAGGUUUCUGGCCUUAGCCACUGGAAGGAUAGAGCAGCCAUUCACGGAGAUGGGGAAGGCAAAGGGAGGAGAAGGUUCUGGGAAAGAUCAGGAGUUCAGUUUUAGACCUGUGUUCUUUUAACUUUAAAAUAGCCUUUUAUUAUUAUAAAAAAGCAUAUAUGGGCCAGGCGCGGUGGCUCACGCCUGUAAUCCCAGCACUUUGGGAAGCCAAAGCAGGCGCAUCACCUGAGGUCAAGGGUUCGAGACCAGCCUGACCAACAUGGCAAAAACCCAUCUCUACUAAAAGUAGAAAAAUUAGCUGGGCGUAGGUGGCGCAUGCCUGUAAUCCCAGCCACUCUGGAGGCUGAGGCAGGAGAAUCACUUGAACCCAGGAGGUGGAGGUUGCAGUAAGCCGAGAUUGCAUUGCUGCACUCCAGCCUGGGUGACAGAGUGAUUUUCCAUCAAAAAAAAAAAAAAAAAAAAAAAAAAAAAAAAGCAUAUAUGGGCCCUGAGGAAAGUUGGACAAUACAGAUAUCAGACAAAAAAGAGAAAAAUACCAUUAUCUAUCACCCAGAGACUGCCACUAUUAACACCUUAGUGUAUGUCCUUUCAUAUCUUUUUCAAUGACUAUAUUCCUAUGAGGUUUUAACCAAAAUAAAAUUAUAGCAUACAUGUUUUGUAAUUUUUUUUUUUUUGAGAUGUCACCCAGGCUGGAGUGCAAUGGCACAAUCUCGGCUCGCUGCAACCUCCGCCUCCCGGGUUCAAGCAAUUCUCCUGCCUUAGGCUCGUGAGUAGCUGGAUUACAGGUGCGCACCACCACGCCCAGCUAAUUUUUGUAUUUUUAGUAGAGAUGGGGUUUCAACAUGUUGGCCAGGCUGGUCUCAAACUCCUGACCUUGUGAUCCGCCCCCCACCCCCCCUCGGGCUCCCAGAGUGCUGGGAUUACAGGCGUGAGCCACCGCUCCCGGCCUGUAACUUGUUUUAUCAAGAUCUUUACAAGUUAAAGAUCUCCACAUUUCCAAGUGAACAAAUUUUUGUUUUACCUAAUAUCUAGUCCAUAUCCAAACUCUGCUAAUUGUCUCCAAAACUGGGCACACUAAGUUUGAGGAGACUUGUAGGCAUCUAAGUAGUGGUGCUGAGGAGGGAGAUAGAUGUGUGAAUCUGGAGAAAACUGACCUGGAGGUGAAAUGUUGGGCAUCAUGAGCUUUUACUGGUAUUUACUGGUAUUUGUUGUUGUUUUUCAAUGAAGAACGUUACAUUUAUUUCUUUUCUCAUAGUUGGAACUAGUCUUUACAGCUAUUUAGAGGAUUUUCAGGGUGAUGGCUGUUCUUAGUAGUUUGAGACCCAUCCCUAUCCUUUGUGCGUUUCCUACCAGCCAAAUUCAAACUUUCACGUUUGGCCAACAAAGGAAGCCUUUUGCAGGACAGAGGGGACAGAAUGGUGAGGACCUUGGCAGGUGAGAGCCCUGUGUGGGCAGCACGGCCUGCCUAGUCCAUCUCUAAAAUCAGAUACACAUACGUUCAUAUUCCAGCUCCAUAAAUGGUAUUUUAAGCUGGGAGGCUGGAUGAGAUCAUAAAGAAAUGAGAAUAGGUAAAGAGGAUCAGAGACGGAGCCUGGGGCCUCCAACAUUUACAGUGAGGCGGUGAGGAGGAACCAAGCCAGGAGCCUGGGCAGGAGCAGCCCACAACAUAGGAAGAAACUAAAGAGGAUGGCAUCCUGGAAAUAAAUGAUGAAAGCAUUUCAGCAGUUUCUAUGGAGUGUUUGGGUGUGAAAGCCUAACUGGAGAGGGUUCAAGAGAAAAUGGACAGAAGAACAAGUUUAACCACACCAUGAGGAAGCGAUAAGCCAAAUCCAGGACGCAGGACAUUCUACAGGACAACUGGCCUGGUUUUUCAAACAAACGAGUUUCACUCUUGUUGCCCAGGCUGGAGUGCAAUGGCAUGAUCUCGGCUCACUGCAACCUCUGCCUCCCGGGUUCAAGCGAUUCUCCUGCCUCAGCCUCCCGAGUAGCUGGAAUUGCAGGCAUGCACCAUCACGCCUGGCUAAUUUUGUAUUUAUAGUAGAGAUGGGGUUUCUCCAUGUUGGUCAGGCUGGUCUCGAGCUCCCAACCUCAGGUCAUCCGCUUGCCUCAGUCUCCCAAAGUGCUGGGAUUACAGGCGUGAGCCACCUCCCCCAGCUGAGCUCAAUAUUUAAAAAAAAAAAAUGGCAGGCACAGUGGCUCACAACUAUAAUCCCAGCACUUGCAGAGGGCAAAGUGGGUGGAUUGCUUGGGCCCAGGAGUUCAAGACCAGCCUGGGCAAUAUAGCAAGACCCUGUCUCUAUUAAAAAAUAAAAAAAGAUAAAAUCUAUUUGACUGAGUAUUUCUAUUUCUAGGAAUUUAUUCUCGGGGAAAAAGUUGAAUAAAUAUGUCCAAAGAUACAUGUAUAAGAAUGUUUAUUGCAGUGGGGUUUAAAAUUGUGAAAACUGGGACUCAGUCUCGUGGUGGAUGCUGCCAGAUGCCCCUUAUUAGUGGCUAAGAGUUCACACCACCACCUUCUACAGAGAACUGCCAGUGGAAUGGAUGCUCCACAGCGCCCUUGCCUCAGGUGGGAUGAAUUCUGUGGAGCAAUUCAUGCUCGAGAGCUCCCCGCGGGGUCACACUGAACUGGACAGCCGCUGAGCCCACAUCCUCGCUCAGCAGUACCCCACCCUAGGCUGCAUUCCUCCUUCCCUUCCGAGAGCACGUUCUCAAUAAGUCACUUGCACAAGGCUCCUCUGUUCUGCCCCGAAGGAUCUCACCCCAGACAACCCUCAUCAGGGGAUGGUUAAACACACAUGACGUGUCCAAACAGCAGAAAGCUGGUAAGCACGGGGAAGGAAGGCGUGAGA
rnacentral:lncRNA from 1 species